UGCUCAGAGGCAAACGGGUGGGCCCUCGAAAUCCUCUCGCGGGGGGAUUCAGUCGGGGAUCCAGGAGGCGCGUCCGGUCUAUCACCGACCCCGCAAAGGGCGGGACCGGCCGCGCCGUCUCCGGGCCUCCCGACGCACUUCCUCCCGCGCUCCGGAUGCUGCAGCCGGUCGGGUAGCAGCGAGAGUCGGCCGUGAGGUCGGGCCGCCGCAGGUGGCGGGCGGGCGUUCUCCGGAUCGCUCGCCCGUUGUUAGCGGGCCCGUCCGUGGCGCGACACCCGACCGAGGUUGUACGUUCCCUCCCGGGAACCCGCCGUCCCCCCUCCCUCCGGGGGGCGAGCCCCGCGGCAGGCGAGCACCCGCGCCGUCGAGUCACUCCCCGCAGUGGCCGACGCGUCGGAGCCGUCGCUGGCCGCGAGGGUCUCGCCGGGGGCCGCCGGCUGGCAGCAAGUAAGUCGGUCACCCACCCGACCCGUCUUGAAACACGGACCAAGGAGUCUAACAUGUGCGCGAGUCACGGGGUCUUGAACAGGCCCGCCGUGGGCGCAAUGAAAGUGAAGGCCCGUUCGUCGGGCCGUGUCGGGACUCCCCACCCCCGAGGGGGGGGGGAAGCACCGACGACCCGUCCCACCGGGCACUGCCCGCGGGGCGGAGUCCGAGCGCACACGUUGGGACCCGAAAGAUGGUGAACUAUGCCUGGGCAGGACGAAGCCAGAGGAAACUCUGGUGGAAGUCCCCAACGGUUCUAACGUGCAAAUCGAUCGUCAAACCUGGG
rnacentral:rRNA from 1 species